rnacentral:rRNA from 1 species
UACGUAGGGUGCGAGCGUUGUCCGGAAUUAUUGGGCGUAAAGGGCUCGUAGGCGGUUUGUCGCGUCUGGAGUGAAAACUCAGGGCUUAACCCUGAGCCUGCUCCCGAUACGGGCAGACUAGAGGUAUGCAGGGGAGAACGGAAUUCCUGGUGUAGCGGUGAAAUGCGCAGAUAUCAGGAGGAACACCGGUGGCGAAGGCGGUUCUCUGGGCAUUACCUGACGCUGAGGAGCGAAAGUGUGGGGAGCGAACAGG